rnacentral:ncRNA from 1 species
CUCUAGCGCCAGAACUUUUUAUGAGUAAAGAAAGUCUAUAUAAAAAGUUGACGAGGACGAAGUUUAUCGAGUAUUCGGCGGGUGCUUCGCGGGAUGCCUGUUUCCGUAAAGUCUCUACAAAACUUGGGAGAGAUCCCAUCGACAAAAGAG